GAUGAACGCUAGCUACAGGCUUAACACAUGCAAGUCGAGGGGCAGCAUGAACUUAGCUUGCUAAGUUUGAUGGCGACCGGCGCACGGGUGAGUAACACGUAUCCAACCUGCCGAUGACUCGGGGAUAGCCUUUCGAAAGAAAGAUUAAUACCCGAUGGCAUAGUUCUACCGCAUGGUCUUAUUAUUAAAGAAUUUCGGUUAUCGAUGGGGAUGCGUUCCAUUAGGCAGUUGGUGAGGUAACGGCUCACCAAACCUUCGAUGGAUAGGGGUUCUGAGAGGAAGGUCCCCCACAUUGGAACUGAGACACGGUCCAA
rnacentral:rRNA from 1 species